CAUAGAACAAGAAAAUAAACCAAGAGGAAAAACAGAAAUAUUUCGUGGGCGAGUCUCCUGGUAUAUUGAAAUUUUAUCCUCAAAAGACGCUAGAUCAUAUUUUCUACAGCAUAAUGG